CAAGUGGCACCAGCCAAAUCCCUGCCUUACUGACCUCUCCCCUGGAGGAGCAGGAGCAGCGCUCAAGGCCGCCCUGGGAGGGCUGAGAGGCAGGCUCUGGACUGGGGACACAGGGAUAGCUGAGCCCCAGCUGGGGGUGGAAGCUGAGCCAGGGACAGUCACAGAGGAACAAGAUCAAGAUGCGCUUUAACUGAGAAGCCCCCAAGGCAGAGGCUGAGAAUCAGAAGACAUUUCAGCAGACAUCUACAAAUCUGAAGGACAAAACAUGGUUCAAGCAUCUGGGCACAGGCGGAGCUGGUACCUUCGCUUAUACAAAUGUACUUACUUAUUACAUUUCAUUGCUGUCAGCUCCACGCAAGCAGGGAUAUUUGCCUGUUGUACACUUGCACGGAGAGAAUGAAUAGUGCCCCUCUGUUGACAUCAUUGCCUCUAGCCUACGUCUCUUUCCAGGGCUUUAGAUCCUGUUUCUAGAGACCCACUGGUGUCUCACAGGCAACUCAGCUCCUAGAUGGAAACAGCCUCCUCCGCCCCCCACAAGUCCACUCCUCCUGUGCUCUUGGCUCAGUCAGGGGUCCCCUUCUCUUCAGUUGCUCAAGCCAGAAGUCAAGGUCAUGUCCUUGAUACUUCCCUCUUCCCCAUGCCUCACAUCCAGUCACCAAUCUCCUAAAAUAUCUAGAAUGUGCACAGCUUCCACCAUUCUUUCUACCACCACCCUACUCCCCCAUGGCCAUGUCAGGCCACCACCCGCCCAUUCUUCAAAACUCCCUUCAGGCCUCACCUCCCAUGCCUCCCCUGAGUUCCCCCAGUCCCAGGCUGCUUCUCUCUGGUGGUGUUGCCAUUACCCAUCUCUUCUAUUAAACAGAGUGACCCAAGAGUGGAGAGUGGGUUUUGACUUUGUAUCCCUGGUGCUUGACUCAUAAGUAGGUGCUCAACAAAAAUUUUUUCUUUUUUUGAGAUGGAGUCUUGUUCUGUUGCCCAUGCUGGAGUGCAGUGGCAUGAUCUCGGCUCACUGCAACUUCUGCUUCUUGGGCUCAAGCGAUUCUCACAUCUCAGCCCCCACCCCAGCUGGGAUUACAGGUGCCUGCCACCACGCCCAGCUAAUUUUUUUUUUAUUUUUAGUGGAAAUGGGGUUCUGCCAUGUUGGCCAGGCUGGUCUUGAACUUCUGACCUCAAGUGAUCCACCUGCCUCGGCCUCCUGAAGUGUUGGGAUUACAGGCAUGAGUCACCAUGCCUGGCCAACAAAUGUUUGUUGAAUGAAGAAAUGUUGGUUAGCAGGUUGAAUUGUUGGCUCGUGGUUAGUUGGAUAGUUUAUGGUUGACUGGUUGAUUAGAUAAUUCAAUGAGUUAAUAGCUGGUUAACAGGAGAAUCAGUUAGUUGGUUUUUGAUAGGUUAGUCAAAGGGUUAAUAAGCCACCGGGCAUGUUGGCUCAUGCCUGAAAUCCCUGCACCUUGGGAGGCUGAGGCUGGAGGAUUGCUUGAGUCCAGGAGUUUGGGACCAGCUUGGGUAACAUGGCAAAACCCCAUCUCUACAAAAAAUAGGAAAAAAUAGCCAGUCAUGGUGGCAUGCUCCUGUAGUCCCAACUACUUGGGAGGCUGAGGUGGGAGGAUCACUUGAACCCUGGGAAGUCUAGGCUUCAGUGAGCUGUGACUGUGCCACUGCACUUCAGCCUGGGCGACAGAGUGAGACCCUGUCUCAAAAAAAAAAAAAGAAAAAGAAAAAGAAAAGAAACAGGCGUUAGUGAGUUGUUAGCUAUUUAGUUCCUUGGUUAACAGAUUACUUAGGGGAUCUGGUUGGCUGUCAGUUUCUUGCUUUGUAGGCUGGCUUUCUUGGGCCCCUCUUCUUAGUCUGUACCCUCUCCUUGAGCUCUCUCAUCUAUGCCCAUGGCUCAGAUGACCAUCUGUGAUUUGCUGUCCUCCAAAUGUGUCUGUAAGUGAGACCACAUGACCAGCUGCCUCCUCACUGGCCAUCCCACCCAAGUGUCUAGCAGGCUCCUCACACUCAACAUGUCCAGAAAGGGCCUCCUUGUCCAUUCUUCCACAGCUUCUCUGCUGUGCCCCACGCUAGUCAUUCCGCUGCCCUAGCCAGGACCUGAGGGCAUCGCUG